rnacentral:rRNA from 1 species
UUAAGAUGGCGACCGGCGCACGGGUGAGUAACACGUAUCCAACCUGCCGAUGACUCGGGGAUAGCCUUUCGAAAGAAAGAUUAAUACCCGAUGGCAUAGUUCUUCCGCAUGGUAGAACUAUUAAAGAAUUUCGGUCAUCGAUGGGGAUGCGUUCCAUUAGGUUGUUGGCGGGGUAACGGCCCACCAAGCCUUCGAUGGAUAGGGGUUCUGAGAGGAAGGUCCCCCACAUUGGAACUGAGACACGGUCCAA